UCCGGCUUGACGCCGGCAGUCCCCCGAGAGUCCUCAGCAUGACCUGUUAGUAACACGGGGCAAGGGUUGCGCUCGUUGCGGGACUUAACCCAACAUCUCACGACACGAGCUGACGACAGCCAUGCAGCACCUGUGCUAGUGUUCCGAAGAAGGGCCCCACCUUCAUGAGGCUUUCACUAGCAUGUCAAACCUAGGUAAGGUUCUUCGCGUUGCAUCGAAUUAAACCACAUGCUCCGCUGCUUGUGCGGGUCCCCGUCAAUUCCUUUGAGUUUUAGCCUUGCGGCCGUACUCCCCAGGCGGGUCACUUAAUGCGUUAGCUACGGCACAGGAGGAGUCGACACCUCCCACACCUAGUGUUCAUCGUUUACGGCUAGGACUAC
rnacentral:misc_RNA from 1 species